GCAUAAUCAUUCGCCUUUUAAUUGGAGGCUUGUAUGAAUGGAUUAAUGAGGGACCAGUUGUCUCGCUUAUAAAGUAUAAAAUUUAAUGAUUAGGUGAAGAGGCCUGGAUAAAAUUAAAAGACAAGAAGACCCUAUCGAGUUUUAUUAUUUUUAAUUAUUUCAGGUGUAUGUAUAUAUCUUGAAGAUAUUUUUAGUAAUUUAGUUGGGGCGACUGGGGGACAAUAUUACCUCCCCUUUAAUAAAGAAAUUAAUUCGAUAAAAAGAUCCAUUAAAAUGAUCAAAAGACACACACUACCGUAGGGAUAACAGGCUAAUUUCUUUAGAGAGUUCAAAUUGACAAAGAAGAUUGGCACCUCGAUGUUGGCUUAGGAUAUCCUUUGUAUGCAGCCGUACAAAAAGGUUGGUUUGUUCAACCAUAAAAAUCCUACGUG
rnacentral:rRNA from 1 species